UGAAAGCUGCACCUCAGUCCUUGCAGGAAUUAGCCAAAACCACAGACCAAGGUGACCUUUGGAAACUGAAAUUUCCUUAGACCACAAUAGAACUGAUCCUGCCUGUUUUGCAGCUGUUCCUUGUUGUACAAGCUGACUAGAAGCUGAAGAAUAAACAUGAGGAAGAAAAGAAUAAUAGUACUAUCUUAACCUGCUCUUUUGAUUUUCCAAGGUUGUUCCAUGGUGAGCGAUGUUUGAAAAGCCGGCCUAGGAAGCGUUCCACUGUGCUGUCUGUCUCAGUCUGGAUUUGCAGGACAAGAGGAGCUGUACCAGUGCAAGAAGGCACAGAUGAGAGGAAUGCAAGUACAGAUUCUGGUACACAACUGCAGAGAUACUUGUUUUUAUUUAUGGAAGCCUUGAAUAUGGAUAAAAACCAUUGUGAGGGAGGCAGGGCAUGUAUGUACAAGACAUUGGAAAUGUGAGAUAUGAUCUCCUCCUCCUGGACACAGGUGUGCUGCUUGGGGUAGCUCACCCUCUCUUGAAUAUUUAAGAAAAUACCUGUGAUCAGAGAGAAGAUGGAUCAAAGCAUCAAUAGCUAUGCGAAUGGCAUGGAUGUUGAUAGAAGAAAGAAUGUAGCACUGUAAUGCUUUUGAAUCAAGAAGUCUCUACACUACUUCUGUGAUUUUGGCAGGAGAAAAUUCUCUUCUAAACUUAUAAGGACUUUCCUCCUUUAGUAGUCCAUGUCUCUAAAUAAGCAUCAGCUGCUUUCUAACAGGCAAUUUUUCUUAUGACUAAUCCUUCUUGCUUUAUCCAUGUGGAAGAAACAGAAGAAGGAAGAGGAUUGGACUAUUACCCACUGAUUGGUACAUCUCUGUGAUUCUAUUGGUAUGUGCUGAUCUCUACAGUUAGUCACUUCACUGUGGCAGCUUUCGUAGGUCUUUGUUCCAGAUUUCACAUUUAGUUAUCUUCCUAUGUGUAGCCGCUAAACCGGCUAGGCAACCUGGUUCGGGAACGACACGACGACUGCCUCUAGCCUGCUUGGUCCACUGCUCACAGACACCAAUAUGGUGGAUGGCAAAUGGCGUUUAUUAAUUAAGGAGUGAUUCACCUUUUUAUAUUUUCCAGCUCGGCGCAUCAUUUCCGCCUGCUUACGUCAUUGCCACCUGCAGCUGGCAUCCUAACUAUAACUGGCAUAACCAUAAACAUGAACGGGAGGUGGGGAGGAAGGACCCUGCCUCCUCCUACAGCGCGCCAUCUUCAGGUCGGUCACUCUAACUUUUUUCCCUCCCCCAACACCUAUGGACCAGAAUAUCUCAUGAG
rnacentral:lncRNA from 1 species